rnacentral:lncRNA from 1 species
UAACACGAGCCCCCCGUCCUAUCCAACUCCUCAUUUACCUCUGUUGGGUCAUCCCUCAGAUAGUCUACCAUUAUCUCGAGUGCCUCGUCUUUGCUAAUCCUCGCAUGAUCUAGGAGUCUCCCCCUGAUCGAAAGAUGUAGAAAACACGAGAUAUCAUUGAGUGUGAUAGAGAUAUCACCAAGCAGAAGGUGAAAUGACAAGGUCUC